GGGGGUGUAGUUCAGUUGGUUAGAACGCUAGCCUGUCACGCUAGAGGCCGCGAGUUCGAGUCUCGUCACUCCCG
rnacentral:tRNA from 1 species